AUUGAACGCUGGCGGCAGGCCUAACACAUGCAAGUCGAACGAGUGGCGGACGGGUGAGUAAUGUCUGGGAAACUGCCCGAUGGAGGGGGCUCACUACUGGAAACGGUAGCUAAUACCGCAUACCAUCGGAUGUGCCCAGAUGGGAUUAGCUAGUAGGUGGGGUAACGGCUCACCUAGGCGACGAUCCCUAGCUGGUCUGAGCGGAUGCCUAGCCAGACUGGAACUGAGACACGGUCCAGACUCCUACGGGAGGUAGCAGUGGGGAAUAGUGCACAAUGGGCGGAAGCCUGAUGCAGCCAUGCCGCGUGUAGGAAGAAGGCAUUCGGGUUGUAAAGUACUUUCAGCGAGGAGGCGGUACUCGCAGAAGAAGCACCGGCGAACUCCGUGCCAGCAGCCGCGGUAAUAC
rnacentral:rRNA from 1 species